rnacentral:lncRNA from 1 species
GAGAAAUUUAGGGUUUAUUGAUUUAAUGGAAUUUUUUAUUAAUGAGUGAGCCAUUUUUUUUUUUUUGCACACAGUAACAACUUUUGUUCUUCAGAAGGGUUUUUUGUUUACGAGAAUCUGAAGAAACAAGUUACGAUGAUAAGAAUGAACAAAAGAAGAAGAAGAAGAAGGGAUCUGGAUUUACCGUAGUCUCUUAAACUGUGCAGUCAACAACACUGCAGGUUUCCUCCGUUGGAUUGAUCCAGGAUUCCCG